ACGGGCGCAGUUCCUAUGCCUAAUGUAUGCAAAUAAAACCAUCCGCAAAAUGAUACUCCCAUCUGGGAUUCUAUAGGACUGUUCCUGAGAAAAGCCUGCCUGAUGUUUUCACCACCUCCAGGCAGAGUUCAAUAAAAACGAACUUAGCCAAAUGCCUGACAGGUAGUAAGUGCUCAAGAAACAGUUGACUGGACGACUGCUCCAUUUCUUCUCUGCAUAUCUGAACACUCAAGCACCAGAAGGCACCUAAACCCAGAGCCUCUCCAGACCAUAUGACAUCAGUCAAAGACUCUGCUUGAGAAUUAUUUUUGUUCUUGGCCUCAGCUCCGGAUCACACCAACUUAUAUAUGCCAUCUCUGUUUCAGAGACAGUUUCUUUUCAGCUGCCAAGCCACUUUUUUCCAAGCCUUCAGUCAAAUAAUUUCUCCUGAAGAAAAAGAAAAGAGAAUGACAUAACUGUCAGGGUUUUAUUUCAAAAGAAGAGUGGUUACAUAGAUUUUUUGUGUGUGUUCAUAUCAAAGUGUCAAUAACUGUUAAAGAGGAACAGUCAACUAGCAAGUCACUUGUCAAUGAUUCUUCCAUCUUUGUCAUGGGAGAGAUUUGAAGAACAUUUAUUUAGCAAUUUUUUUAUUAAAUGUCUACUUGGCUUACUGGACUAAGUUGUGGCAAUCUGAGAAUGGACCAGAUUUCAUUCAAGAUGUUUGCCUUCAAGGAGUUUAUAGCCUAGUGGGAAAAAUAAACAAGUAAAAUCUGGGAACUUUAAGCAUAAAUCUCUGGAACAUUCAUAGUCAUUGUAUGACAGGAAUUCUUUAACAUUUUGGAUGUUAUUUUCUCAUCUUUCCACUGAACAAAAUUGACUCAAGCCUUUAAUAAUCUCUGCUGUGUACUUGCAGUGGAAAAUGUCAACAAGUAAUCCUAACAAUUCUCCAGGAAGUGGAGGCUCAGGUGGUUAGUGAGUAGUCCCAAUAUUGAGCUCAAAAGUCGGUCUUCUACAUCCAUUUUUUCUGUCGUGUGUUUCUAUCAUGAACACGUUCCCAUUAUAGCAGAUUGAUGCUUUCUUACCCAAAUUUAUUUACCUAUCUACUAGACCACGAAGUCAAAGACCACUUUUCAUUUGUAUAUCUGCCCAUCACCCUAAUAGAUCGUGACCUUUUGAGAUGAGAAACAUGGUUCCUGCCCUCAAGAGGAUCAAAUUUGGAGAAAAAGAUAGAUAAUCAUAUCAAAUAGGGUGAGAACAAGCACUGAAAUCAAGUUUAUUGUUAACAUGUGGAGGAGGAGCACCUCAUUCAACCUGCAUUCAACAAGAAGUACUUCUCAAAAAUGUCAAGCUCAAGACGAGUAUUGAAGAACCAGUAGGAAUUGGCCAAGCUAAAAAGAGACAAAGAGUGCUCCAUACACAGGCACAUAUACCUUUGUAUGUAUCUCCUUGCCUAUGAACUGUAGAGUUUAUAUGCAGUUGCAGUCAUCCACAGAAAUGAGAUGGAUGUCCACCUAAAAGCUGGUCCACAUUUCAAGACUUCUGAUGCCACACAUGCACCAAGAGGAUGUAAGAAGAUUUAUUGGUCAUGUAAUGAGACUUUCUAGGAACAGCAGGUAAAACUCAUUACAAGUAUUCUGGAUCCAUUUUUGGCUAAGUGAAGAGGAAAGUUUUACCAGCUGAUGGCCGUUUGAUGACCUACAUGGAAAGAACUGGUAGACUCAGGAGAGCACAAUUGAGAGAAGUGAUCACAUCACAAAAUGUGACAUCAUUCUUUGGCACCAGCUGGCAUCCUGGACAUGGAGAGUGAAUGGCACCCUUCCUUGGAUUCUAGUGCUGUUGCUGAGAUUAGCCAUUCUUGCAUCUCAAAAGGAAGAUGUUAAAAGAAGAGUUAGCCAACUGUGUUCCUGGUGCUGUGCCAGCAGGAAGUUCCCUUUGAAUGGUGCUGCAAACAUAAUAGCAGUGUGCUGACUCCAGCAACAAUGUAAAAAACAGCGCACAGUAACAUGGUAACAAUAUGUCAGAGAGAUUCUGAAGCUCAAACAACAUAUUUGGAAGAAGAGUGAAGUAUCCCACUGUUUCUUCAUUUGAAGUAAAACUUCCAGUUUUAGAAGCGUCAGCAAUGUUGAGAAGGUCAGCAUUGAAAGAGAACAAGGAGGAGGAAGAGAAGGGGGAGGAAGAAAGAGAAGAGAGAAGAGAAAAAGAGAAAAGAAGUGGAAAAGAAGAGGGAAAGAAAGCUCACCUUCAUUUACCUCUGUUCACACUCAAACUUCUUGAUAGUAACCAACCCUGAUGUUGUCACUGACUCCUCUCCUUUCCACUUGUGAAUCCAUUGCAAUCUGGCUUCUCUCUCCUUCAUUCAGAAAAUUGUCUUGUGAUGGUCUCCAAAGGCCCUGGGGCUGCAAAAUUUAACAGGCACUGGUCAAUUAUUAUUGCAACAAAUUUUUCCUAGAAUUCAAAAUAUUUACCAAACUCCAUUUGAAAUGCCUGCCUUUCUUUAUGUAGUGGUUACUUCAUCACCUUCUAUCUCUAUUUGCUCUAUUUCCUUCCCCCUCCUUGGCUUCUUUUUUCUACAUUAGGUCCUUUCACGCCCUGGUGUUCCUCUAAGAGUCUGUCCUUGCUCAUGUCUGUUCUCUAUAUACUCCUCAUGGCACACUCAUCCAUUCCUGUAAUACCAGGUACCAUGUAUUUAUGACUCGACUUUUUAUCUUCAGCACAGACCAUUCCCUUGAACUCCAGAUUUGUGUUUCUAGGCUCCUACCAGACACGUUUAGUAGAUAUAUCACCAACACCUUAAACUUAUCCAGUAUUAAAUCCCCUCUAUGUUCUUUCCAAUUCUCCACUUGGUUUGAUUUUAGUGUCCAAGUCAGAAGCUUUAGGAUCACUUCCUCUUUGUUACUCACUUACCCAGUAGGUCAUUAAGUCUGAGUCUAUGGAUAUCUCUGGAAUCCACUCCAUGACCACAAUUUCUGUCUUUCUUCAGACUCUCAUCAUUUCUAACCUAUCCUGUUGCACUAGCCUCCGACCAGACCUCCCUGCCUACAGGCUUUCCCACCUUCCUUUCCUCCUGAUUCUGUAUUCUACACUAUUGCUUCUGGUACCUAAAGUACAAAACUAAUCAGGACACUUCUCUGAUUAACACCUUUCAAUGACUUUUCACCCCUAUCAGCUCCUUUCCUUGAUAAACAUAAAAGGUCCUUGACAGUCUGGCUUCUCCCCCCCCUUUAUGAUUGUGUCUCCCUACUUUCCCUAACUCACUGCCUCUGCUUCAGCCUUAACUGUCUUUUUGCAGUUUCCCAAACAUGCCAGGCUAUUUCACAUCUCCAAGGUUUUGGAGAGUCUGAUGCAUUUGCCUGAAAUACUCUUCCCCUCUCAGGCACCUGGCAAAUUCCUGUUCGGUAUUUGAAAAUUCCAUGAACAUCACCCCCACCCCCACCCCACAUACAUGUGCAUCUUCCUAUUACUUUUUUCAUCCAUAAGCAUGGAGGUGUACCUCUCUAUUAGCAUUUUUCUCACUGUGUCAUAGUUUAUAACAUGGGGGGGUCUCCAUGAACCCUUGAGGUCCCUGAGAAAUGUCUUUAUUUCAGUUUAAACUAUGCCUGGCGUGUAAUACAUGCUGAAUGCAUGUUGGUUGAAUGAA